rnacentral:rRNA from 1 species
UACGGAGGAUGCAAGCGUUCUCCGGAAUGAUUGGGCGUAAAGCGUCCGCAGGUGGCAAUGUAAGUCUGCUGUUAAAGAGUCUAGCUCAACUAGAUAAAAGCAGUGGAAACUACAUAGCUAGAGUACGUUCGGGGCAGAGGGAAUUCCUGGUGUAGCGGUGAAAUGCGUAGAGAUCAGGAAGAACACCGGUGGCGAAGGCGCUCUGCUAGGCCGUAACUGACACUGAGGGACGAAAGCUAGGGGAGCGAAUGGG